CUCACAGGGCCAGCCUGCCAGCCUCCAAUCUUUCUCUCCUUUGCUCUAGUCACCGGAUUUCCAAACACCUGGGCGUGGGAGAGCUUGUCCCGUGGGCUAGACAUCCAAGACCGCUCCCCCCUCUCAAACCCAAACCGAGUAUCCCCUCUCUUCGUGCCUCCAGAACUGCAGCCGCCCAGGUUGGGGCUGGGAAGCGGGUUGCCAAGGAAAAUACGAAGCCAGCUAGCAGGCGGCUCCCAGCUCUACCCAGGAGCGCACACACCCUGCACUCACCAGGGUGGUGGCAAUGGGGGAAAGGCAAAGGGGGAAAAACACAACACCUUCCUUUGGGAGGGAGGAAUGUGGGAAAUGGGUGGGUCCCCUCGGUUUCGGGGUGGGGGUGAACGGCCAGACAGCCACCGACCCCAAAGGACCAGACCAGCUCCGGACCUGCCAAAAAAGACAGCUUGGUGCCCGGGAAAUUUACAAGGUGAAACUGACUAGCUCAGCACUCGCGGGUGGCGCCGAGAAGUAGGAUGGCCGGCGACUCUCCCGGGCGCGGGUUCCGGCUGCGGCAGCAGGUCCCGCAGCUUGGCGGGCAGCACCAGUCCGACGGCUGCUUUGGCCACCAGAUAGAUCAUCUGCAGAGGGAACACCACCAACGCGCCCAGCCGUUUCCACACCAUCCUCCGCGCCGCGGAGCCGGGCAGGGGGGCGAAACUCCCCGGACCGAGCAAAACAGGAAUUAAAAAAGAAAACACCCCAAACAAUAAUAAAUAAACCGAAUUAAGGGGGGAGGCGUCCCACCUGGCCACUCUUGAAAUCACCUCUUCCCAAAUGCAAAACACCGGGUGAG